AUGUCAAACACUGCCCUCUCUAACUCUGCUUGGAGUACCAGCCUGCUGUCUUGGGUUGCUGUCUUUCUCCUGGGAACAAAACACAUGGAAGCUGCAGUCACACAAAGCCCAAGAAACAAGGUGACAGUAAAAGGAGGAGAGAUGACAUUGAGUUGUAAUCAGAAUAAUAAUCACAACAGCAUGUUCUGGUAUCGGCAGGACAUGGGGCAUGGUCUGAGGCUGAUCCAUUACUCAUAUGGUGCUAACGGUACUGAGAAAGGAGAUGUCCCCAACGGGUACAAGGUCUCCAGACCAAACAAAGAAAAUUUCUUCCUCACGCUGGAGUCUGCUUCCCCCUCUCAGACAUCUGUGUACUUCUGUGCCAGCAGUGAUGCACAGCAGUGCAUGGCCUCCUCCCCUCUGCACAGAAAGGAAAUUGGGAGAACAAAGUGCCUGUGGGCCCUAGGAAGUCCCUGCCUCUAA